rnacentral:lncRNA from 1 species
AAAUUCAACUCCUGAAAUUCAAAAUUGGGAAUCUAAACUACUGGAAAUAAAAUCAGCAGCACAAAAUUGAUCAUAUUACAACACAAAUCCUAAUAGAAGAUAGAGUUAAUUACAUUAGUAAAGAAUUUAAAAUUGAUUAUACAUGUCACUAAUUAGAACAUGAAGUACAUGAUCUCAACUAGCUAAUUUAAAUCCGUGAUUCGAUUGCACUAAUAUUCCAAUGAAAAUAGCUUUCCUUGGCCAUGGGUAUUCAUUUCUCCAACAGAUCUUCAGCUUGCAAAGAAGCAACCAACAAUAAUCCAACAGGUAAACAAUAAUUGAAAUUAGUUUAACCCGUUGAGAUCACUUUAGACAUGAGUCAUUGUUUUAGACGAGGAAUGAAGCUGUUAACAAACAGGUGUUAAAUUAUUCAAAAGCUAUAGGACAAUUUGAACUUUUAAUUAUAACAUACCAAUGGCAUCAGACAUUAAUCAGGAAAAGAAGUUCAAGUAGAUUUGGAGCAUAAUAGUUUCAAAACUUAACAGGGAAAGUAAAUCGAAACAAAUCGAUAAUUACACAUGACCAGAUCUGUGAAAUUGAACAGAAUUAGCACAUAAACAAAUUGAAUUUUCAUUUAGGAUUCAAAUAAGAGCAGCAGCGAUAGCUAAACAUACCUAAACAACAAUCGAAGACCAAAUAAAUGUCUGAAAAGAAGAAAUGAUAAAAUUCAGCUACAAAUGGACAGCAAAACAGCAGAAGUACAUCAACAGUUUCAAUUGUUAAUCCAACAGCAACUUGAAAACCCUGAAAUUAUUGAACUAUUCUAAUAGACCUCGAAAUCACUUUGAGAUUUUUCUUUUGUGUUUUUUGGAGCUUUUGGUUUUUCUACAGAUUUGGAAUUUUUGAAUUUCCAGAAAUUCUAGCUACUAAUGUGUUUUCCGUGUGUGAAGGUGAGAGAAAGAGAGUGAAUUGGUGCAGACGAGAGAGAGUGUAUGAGCGAGUGUAGAUGAGAAUGAAUUGGCAGUGAAGGUGUUCCCAGAUGAGUGCAGAAUGGGUCUGUUAUAUAAAAAAUGCAUAUAUUCCUUUUCAGUUAUUUUCCUUCUUUUACAUCCCUCCUCUUUUAAUUAUUUACCCCCUCACCCCCAAAUACUUAGCAUGUACUAUACUUCCUUUUUUUGCAAAUUGACCCUUUUUCUACACAAUCCCAGAAGCUUCUGAAAAUAUAUUCCCUGAAUUAAUUCCCAACACACCCUUUAAAAACCUGUUAAUUACACUCUUUGCCCCUGUUUUUACUCUCUCUUUCUUUUCUUUCCAUUAACUCCCUAACAGUCCCAAACUAAACUACCCUAAUUAUGAAAUAGGAUUUAUGAAUUAAACAAGUAAUUAAGCUAGUAUUUAGACAACAAUUAAACUGUUAAAAACAAAAUCAAAAACUCUUAAAGAUACUGCCCAACUUAACCAGUAGGCAGAUCACAUUGCCAACUUUGCUCUAGAUACUGAUCCUAUGGAAUGCAACAGUUUUGGAGAGUUGGAUGUCAAAGGGAGAAGUAUUGUGAAUAGUGAUAAGUUACAAUGCCCAUAUCUAAGAGUAAAUGUCGCAAGAAGUUAGGAGGUGAGGAGGAAAGGAGUAGCAGGAGAAAGGGGAAUGCUGGAAAUAAUUUGGAUCAUCAUACUCAAGUCCUUAUGGAGGAGAGUAUGGUAACCAUAUUUUUUACUAACCUAGUCUUUUUUUUCCAGGAAACACUAUUCUAAUCAUGCCUUAUACCUUGAACAACUCCCAUUUGGUGUAUUAGUACUAUGUACUCAUUCCAAUGGGAGGGAAGUAGGGGUAGGCAUAAGUAUGAUGCUGGAGAAUCGAAUAGAGCAGCUGGGUUGUUACGACUUUAAUGGAGAACUUUGGCUUAGUUCUAUUAGGUCAGGUAACGUAAACAACCUAGCAAACACUUGUAAAAUACAAUCGGCUAAGGAUAGAAACAAACACAAGAAGCAAACACUGCUCAGAUUUCCAUGGACGAGGCAGUGUAUUUCAAUGGAUUGCACAGGUUACAUGAGUUGGACAUCAACGAGCUGCUUUACGUCAACAACACUAAUGACAUGCAAGGAAGAUGCUCUGGGAGAGGAUUCACACUUAAAGGCAAGUUUCGUGAUAAAAUUCUGGACACAAGACACCAUAAUCAUAGCACUGCCCAGAUUCAUAUAGACGAGGCACUAUGUUUCAAUGGAUUAUAUGGGGUACAAGAACUGGACAACAAGGAGCUGCUUAUUAUCAACAACACCUAUGACACAUAAGGAAGGUGUUCUGGAAGGGGAUCAACACUCAAAGGCAAGGAUCAUGAGCGAAUUCUGGACGCAAGAAGGCAUUGUCACCAUGAACAUUAAUUGCUGGAUACAGGGAGGACAUGUUAAGCGAAGAAUCGUGAUCUCAUCAAUACAAGGUUGCAUACUACUAGCGCAACAAUAUGCUUACACUAGGCAAGGAAGAAUUCCCACGCGACAGAGCUGCGCACUAUGGAUAAUUGAUGUUAUCGCUGCACUCAUAUGGCUAGUUUAUAAAUCUAAUUAUUACUACAUAAGAAGAUUUCAUUAUCAUUAUCAUUUCUUAAUUAGUUCAAAAAGUACUACCAUAGUUUAGUAUCCAGUGCUCAUCUUUGGUACUAGGGACUAUGUAAUUCACAUAGGUUAUGGCUCAACAUAUUGUAAGACACUACAUUACUCCGUUUUCUUAUUUUUCCUUUUUUAUAUAUAAAAUAUAGCCCUAGGUAUUUGCCUAGUGGAUUGCCAAAAAAGAAAACUCUUAAAGACUAAACAUGCACAACAAACAAUAUCGGAAUUCAAAACCUAACAAACUAACAAUCAAUUCAAAACUAAACAUGGGAGUGAUACACUACCACACAGAAAAGAGAACUACUAACAUGUAAGCAUAUCCAAUAAUGUGCUGAAAAUAAGAAAAUUAACCUACACACACGACUGGAGUGAUGGGAAUAGAAGGAAGAAAUUAGAAGAAGGUGGAACCGGACGAUACCUACUCAAAACCUCGAGUUAAACUGGGACUGAUGCCCGGCAUGAAACUUAAAUGAAACACAUUGGAAUUGACAUCACUCGAUCAAGAUUUAUCGAAUGAUGUUGAUUCCGGCCGGUUAUAGCCAGUGAAUCGAACGGGAAGUUGAAAAGGGCUAGGUAGCGGCUAGGGUUUUGAUGGGGUGUGAUAGGGUGGAAAUUGGGGUUUCGAUCUUGAUGGGAUGAAAUAGAGGAGGAGGAGGAGAGGAGAAGGAAAAUGGUGAUUUUAGGGUAUUUGGAUAUCUUCGGCCGGCGGAGGCGAUUUCCAGCAGGUGGUUUACGGUGAAGAGAGGCGAAGGAUGAGAGAGAGGGCGAGAGCCGGUUUGAGGGUUUUUUUUUGGGGGGGUAGGGG